rnacentral:rRNA from 1 species
CAGCCGUAAACUAUGCUCGCUAGGUGUCAGGGACGGUGCGACCGUUUCUGGUGCCGCAGGGAAGCCGUGAAGCGAGCCACCUGGGAAGUACGGUCGCAAGGCUGAAACUUAAAGGAAUUGGCGGGGGAGCACUACAACGGGUGGAGCCUGCGGUUUAAUUGGACUCAACGCCGGAAAACUCACCGGAUAAGACAGCGGAAUGAUUGCCGGGCUGAAGACCCUGCAUGACCAGCUGAGAGGAGGUGCAUGGCGUAGUCGUGU